CCCUUAGAUGUUCUGGGCCGCACGCGCGCUACACUGACGAAUGCAACGAGCUUAUAACCUUGGCCGAAAGGUCUGGGUAAUCUCCAAAUUUCGUCGUGAUGGGGAUAGAUUAUUGCAAUUAUUAAUCUUCAACGAGGAAUGCCUAGUAAGCGCAAGUCAUCAGCUUGCGUUGAUUACGUCCCUGCCCUUUGUACACACCGCCCGUCGCUCCUACCGAUUGAAUGGUCCGGUGAAGCGUUCGGACCGUGGCCUUUGGACGGUUCGCCGUCUGUUGGCUGCGGGAAGUUCGUUAAACCUUAUCGUUUAGAGGAAGGAGAAGUCGUAACA
rnacentral:rRNA from 1 species